GAUGAACGCUGGCGGCGUGCCUAAUACAUGCAAGUCGAACGGUAACAGGCCUUCGGGCGCUGACGAGUGGCGGACGGGUGAGUAACGCGUAGGAAUCUGCCUUAUAGUGGGGGACAACGUGGGGAAACCCACGCUAAUACCGCAUACGCCCUACGGGGGAAGGAGGGAUCUUCGGACCUUUCGCUAUGAGAUGAGCCUGCGUUAGAUUAGCUAGUUGGUAGGGUAAAGGCCUACCAAGGCGACGAUCUAUAGCUGGUCUGAGAGGACGAUCAGCCACACUGGGACUGAGACACGGCCCAGACUCCUACGGGAGGCUG
rnacentral:rRNA from 1 species